rnacentral:rRNA from 1 species
UACGGAGGAUCCAAGCGUUAUCCGGAUUCAUUGGGUUUAAAGGGUGCGUAGGCGGAUUUGUAAGUCAGUGGUGAAAGCCUGCAGCUUAACUGCAGAACUGCCAUUGAUACUGCAAGUCUUGAGUGUGUUUGAAGUGGGCGGAAUGUGUCAUGUAGCGGUGAAAUGCUUAGAUAUGACACAGAACACCGAUUGCGUAGGCAGCUCACUAAACCACAACUGACGCUGAGGCACGACAGCGUGGGGAUCAAACAGG